rnacentral:rRNA from 1 species
CCUACGGGUGGCAGCAGUGAGGAAUAUUGGUCAAUGGACGAGAGUCUGAACCAGCCAAGUAGCGUGAAGGAUGACUGCCCUAUGGGUUGUAAACUUCUUUUAUAUGGGAAUAAAAUGUUCCACGUGUGGGAUUUUGUAUGUACCAUAUGAAUAAGGAUCGGCUAACUCCGUGCCAGCAGCCGCGGUAAUACGGAGGAUCCGAGCGUUAUCCGGAUUUAUUGGGUUUAAAGGGAGCGUAGGUGGAUUGUUAAGUCAGUUGUGAAAGUUUGCGGCUCAACCGUAAAAUUGCAGUUGAAACUGGCAGUCUUGAGUACAGUAGAGGUGGGCGGAAUUCGUGGUGUAGCGGUGAAAUGCUUAGAUAUCACGAAGAACUCCGAUUGCGAAGACAGUUCACUGGACUGCAACUGACACUGAGGCUCGAAAGUGUGGGUAUCAAACAGGAUUAGAUACCCGAGUAGUC